GGCAUUUCUGUUAGUCACUCUACAGUUUAAUGUUGUCAGCCCUCGGGUCAGGCAGGUACUCAUUGGGCCAGCAUUGUUGGUAAGUCACUGUUUAGUAGAUAUGCCCAUUUAAGAUAUGUUUAUAUCUGAAGCUAAUACACUGAGAUAUUCUACUAUUUUUUUCUAGCAUUUCCUGUUGCUUUCAACCCUAAUCUUUUAUGCCAGCGGUGCAUGCAUAAGUAUUUAACAU